GUGCUCACUUCGGCAGCACAUAUACUAAAAUUGGAACGAUACAGAGAAGAUUAGCAUGGCCCCAGAGAGAAAAUAAGAAAAAAAAAAGAAAAAAAAAAUUAGUGGCU